rnacentral:lncRNA from 1 species
UCCAAAAAAAAAAAAAAGAAACUAUCAUGAGAGUGAACAGGCAACCUACAGAAUUAGGGAAAAUUUUUGCAAUCUAUCCAUCUAACAAAGGGCUAAUAUCCAGAAUCUACAAAGAACUUAAACAAAUUUACAAGAAAAAAACAACCCCAUCAAAAAGUGGGCAAAGGAUAUGAACAGACACUUCUCAAAAGAAGACAUUUAUGCAG